GGGGUGCGCUGCUAGGCAUGCAGUCGACGAGAAGUUUCUUUCGGGAAGCGAGUAGAGUGGCAAAAGGGUGAGUAAUGAUUAGUUAACCUACCCCUAAAACUGGGAUAACUACCCGAAAGGGUUGCUAAUACCGGAUGGUCUAUGAGGGUCGCAUGAUUUUCAUAGUAAAGGUGCUCGCAAGGGUAUCGAUUAGGGAGGGGAUUAAUUCCUAUUAGCUAGUUGGUGAGGUAAUGGCUCUACCAAGGCAUUGAUGGGUAACCGAUCUGAGAGGAUGACCGGUCACACUGGGACUGAGACACUGCCCAGACUCCUACGGGAGGCUGCAGUCGCGAAUAUUCCGCAAUGGACGCAAGUCUGACGGAGCGACGCCGCGUGUGGGAUGAAGGCCUUAGGGUUGUAAACCACUGUCACACUUUAAGAAAGCAUUUAGGGUAACUCCUAGAUGUUGACAAAGGAGUGGAAGGAAGUCACGGCUAACUACGUGCCAGCAGCCGCGGUAAUACGUAGGUGGCAAACGUUGUUCGGAAUUACUGGGCAUAAAGAGUUUGUAGGCGGCUUAAUAAGUCAGGUGUGAAAUCCCGGGGCUCAACUUCGGAACGGCAUUUGAUACUGUUAGGCUAGAAUAACGGAGAGGUGAGUAGAAUUCAUGGUGUAGCGGUGAAAUGCGUUGAUAUCAUGGAGAAUACCAAUGGCGAAGGCAGCUCACUGGCCGAUUAUUGACGCUGAGAAACGAAAGCUAGGGUAGCGAAAGGGAUUAGAUACCCCUGUAGUCCUAGCCCUAAACGAUGUACAUUGUAUGGUGGGAAUCUUGCAUUUUCACUGUAGCAGCUAAUGCGUUAAAUGUACCGCCUGGGGAGUAUGGUCGCAAGGCUAAAACUCAAAGGAAUUGACGG
rnacentral:rRNA from 1 species